CGGACGGGUGAGUAACGCGUGAGAAUCUAGCUUCAGGUCUAGGACAACCACUGGAAACGGUGGCUAAUACUGGAUGUGCCGAAAGGUGAAAGGCUUGCUGCCUGAAGAUGAGCUCGCGUCUGAUUAGCUAGUAGGUGGGGUAAGAGCCUACCUAGGCGACGAUCAGUAGCUGGUCUGAGAGGAUGAUCAGCCACACUGGGACUGAGACACGGCCCAGACUCCUACGGGAGGCAGCAGUGGGGAAUUUUCCGCAAUGGGCGAAAGCCUGACGGAGCAAUACCGCGUGAGGGAGGAAGGCUCUUGGGUUGUAAACCUCUUUUCUCAGGGAAGAACACAAUGACGGUACCUGAGGAAUCAGCAUCGGCUAACUCCGUGCCAGCAGCCGCGGUAAUACGGAGGAUGCAAGCGUUAUCCGGAAUGAUUGGGCGUAAAGCGUCCGCAGGUGGCUGUGUAAGUCUGCUGUUAAAGAGUCUAGCUCAACUAGAUAAAGGCAGUGGAAACUACACGGCUAGAGUGCGUUCGGGGCAGAGGGAAUUCCUGGUGUAGCGGUGAAAUGCGUAGAGAUCAGGAAGAACACCGGUGGCGAAGGCGCUCUGCUAGGCCGCAACUGACACUGAGGGACGAAAGCUAGGGGAGCGAAUGGGAUUAGAUACCCCAGUAGUC
rnacentral:rRNA from 1 species